GACAUGGUGGACUCCUGGCAGAGCCCUGGCCUUUCCUGGACAAAUCCAUGCAGGGAGAGCACGGCAGAGAGAGCACACCAACCUGCAGGGGCCGGAGAGAUUAUUCAGCCUGGGAAGAGCGAAGAGAGCUCCGUGCUACUCGUCAGUGGUGGGGACCGUGCAGGACUGUUGGAGGACAGUCAGGUGGAGAUGGGGCGCUGCCUGCUUCCCGGGAUCCCCAGUUGGUGUUUUCUGAAGUAACAGCCAAUGAAGGUCCACGCCGACCCACUUGGUGCUUAUUUAAUUGUGAGUGA
rnacentral:lncRNA from 1 species